GAUGAAGACGCAGCGAAAUGCGAUAAGUAAUGCGAAUUGCAGAAUUCAGUGAGUCAUCGAAUCUUUGAACGCACAUUGCGCCCUGUGGUAUUCCGCAGGGCAUGCCUGUUCGAGCGUCAUUUCAACCCUCAAGCCUCGCUUGGUGUUGGGCCCUGCCCGCCGCGGCCGGCCCUAAAGAUAGUGGCGGCGCCGCCUGGCCCUCAGCGUAGUACAGCUCUCGCUCCAGGGUCCGGCGGCAGCCUGCCAGAACCCCCCAACUCUGUGGUUGACCUCGGAUCAGGUAGGGAUACCCGCUGAACUUAAGCAUAUCAAUAAGCGGAGGA
rnacentral:misc_RNA from 1 species